rnacentral:rRNA from 3 species
UAAAGCCAAAGACCCUCCCAGCUGUCGCACGCACCCCGAAGGCACGAAGCCCUAUUACGAAAGUAGCUUUAUUAUAAUAUUCCUGACUCCACGAAAGCUAAGAAACAAACUGGGAUUAGAUACCCCACUAUGCUUAGCCCUAAACCUUGAUGAUAUUUUCACAAACACAUCCGCCAGGGUACUACAAGCGCUAGCUUAAAACCCAAAGGACUUGACGGUGUCUCAGACCCACCUAGAGGAGCCUGUUCUAGAACCGAUAAUCCCCGUUAAACCUCACCACCCCUUGUCCCCUCCGCCUAUAUACCGCCGUCGCAAGCUUACCCUGUGAAGGUCCUACAGUAAGCAAAAUGGGCAAACCCCAAAACGUCAGGUCGAGGUGUAGCUUACGAGGUGGGAAGAAAUGGGCUACAUUUUCUAACUCAGAAUAUAACGAACGGUACUGUGAAACCAGUGCCUGAAGGUGGAUUUAGUAGUAAAAAACAAAUAGAGAGUCUUUUUGAACCAGGCUCUGAGACGCGCACACACCGCCCGUCACUC